CUUGGUCAUUUAGAGGAAGUAAAAGUCGUAACAAGGUUUCCGUAGGUGAACCUGCGGAAGGAUCAUUAUUGAAAAACUAUGUUAGUUUUUUAUAUCCCAUUGUUUUAUCUACCCUGUUGCUUCUACUGGACUGUUUUGCUUGGAGGUAAGAUUUAUAAACCUCUAGGCAAAACCUCAGGCUUGUGUGAACCACACUUUCCAGAGAGCUGCCAGUAGUAAGACCACUUGCUAAAACCUGUUGUGAAGUAUAUAGUCUGAAUUUUGUGUCUUGAAAAUGAAAUAAAACUUUCAACAACGGAUCUCUAGGCUCUUGCAUCGAUGAAGAACGCAGUGAAAUGCGAUAAGUAAUGUGAAUUGCAGAAUCUCGUGAAUCAUUGAAUCUUUGAACGCACAUUGCGCCCUAUGGUAUUCCAUAGGGCAUACCUGUUUGAGCGUUAGCUCCCCAUAUCCUCAAGCAUUAUUUUGUAAUGCUUGGAUUUGUUUGGAGAGGCACCUCUAUCAUAGAGGUACCCUUCAGAAAUGUAUAUGGCAGUAUAGUUUAUAUCUGAACCAGGCGUAAUAAUAAUAAAGUCGCUGAGUUUACCAUAUUUAUACUUGCCUGAACCCACCCAUUGUUAAAUCGGGUAACCUCAAAUCAGGUAGGGAUACCCGCUGAACUUAAGCAUAUCAAUAAGCGGAGGA
rnacentral:rRNA from 1 species